AAUCUGCCCUGCACUCUGGGACAAGCCCUGGAAACGGGGUCUAAUACCGGAUACUGACCCGCUUGGGCAUCCAAGCGGUUCGAAAGCUCCGGCGGUGCAGGAUGAGCCCGCGGCCUAUCAGCUUGUUGGUGAGGUAAUGGCUCACCAAGGCGACGACGGGUAGCCGGCCUGAGAGGGCGACCGGCCACACUGGGACUGAGACACGGCCCAGACUCCUACGGGAGGCAGCAGUGGGGAAUAUUGCACAAUGGGCGAAAGCCUGAUGCAGCGACGCCGCGUGAGGGAUGACGGCCUUCGGGUUGUAAACCUCUUUCAGCAGGGAAGAAGCGAAAGUGACGGUACCUGCAGAAGAAGCGCCGGCUAACUACGUGCCAGCAGCCGCGGUAAUACGUAGGGCGCGAGCGUUGUCCGGAAUUAUUGGGCGUAAAGAGCUCGUAGGCGGCUUGUCACGUCGGUUGUGAAAGCCCGGGGCUUAACCCCGGGUCUGCAGUCGAUACGGGCAGGCUAGAGUUCGGUAGGGGAGAUCGGAAUUCCUGGUGUAGCGGUGAAAUGCGCAGAUAUCAGGAGGAACACCGGUGGCGAAGGCGGAUCUCUGGGCCGAUACUGACGCUGAGGAGCGAAAGCGUGGGGAGCGAACAGGAUUAGAUACCCUGGUAGUCCACGCCGUAAACGGUGGGCACUAGGUGUGGG
rnacentral:rRNA from 1 species